UUCAAUACUGUUUCUUCGCGGAAAUGGUGUGCACUUUUCUCUUAGUAAGACGUUGUGAUCCAUUAGGAAUAGAUUUGCCCCAUUGGCGGCUUAUCGUUGGGCUACCAAUAGGCUGACAUUGAAGUUCGCCCAGUCGAAUGGCACGAUCUUUUGGUUGUGCGUAUCAACGGACGAGCAAUGUCAUGUACACUGAUGUAGCUGCCUGAUGGAUUUUAAAGGCCACAUCAUUGAUGCCAUUGUGCAUCACCCGUGCAAACGGGCUACAGGAUGUGUGCCCGAUCAACAACGGUUUCAUUUGGGAUACCUUUUGGACCCGUCUUGAAACACGGACCAAGGAGUCUAUCUAGUAUGCGAGUAAAUGGGAUUAACGAACUAAACCUAUUUGCAUAAAUAACUUGACUGUUUCAAUGGGAUUACGUGCACAUCUGUCUGUUAUAGAGUGUGCACCUCCAUCCCGGGGUAUUUUCAUCACAUAUAUGGGCAACUAUAUAUAGAAAAUAUACCAUGAGCAUACUGGACAUGACCCGAAAGAUGGUGAACUAUGCCUGAUCAGGUUGAAGUCAGGGGAAACCCUGAUGGAGGACCGAAGCAAUUCUGACGUGCAAAUCG
rnacentral:rRNA from 1 species